CCCUGACUCUGAUUAUUUUUAAAAGAUACAGAGCUUUAGAAACGUAAAGUGUUUUGAACUUUUAAGAGUUCUGCACUGAUUGAGCAAUAAAAGCUGAUUUAUGCUCUGGGAUAGCAUCAUAAGAUUUUAUCACUGAAACACAAUAUAAAUUAACCUUUCACGCAGACCUUCUGCGCAUUCCUACUUUUCUCUCUUCACAAUGUGAAUUAGUUCUUAUUUCAGCAUAUGCAUAGAUAAAGAACU
rnacentral:lncRNA from 1 species